GUGGCGCAGCCGCCUCUCUAGCAGCUCCGGCCCCAGCCCGCGGCUCGCGGACCUGCAGCCCAGCCCGGCCGCGCUGCGUGCCCCGGCGCGCACCCCUCCCACUCCCAUCCACUCGGAGCCACGUCCCCUGCCCGGCUCCGGCCGGCUCCCACCGUCCCCGGCCACCGUCUUCGCCCCUGCCCGGCCCCCGCCCCUUCCAGCCACUACCCCGCCCCCACCCCCUUCUCCACCCUCACGGACUAGGCAGAGGCCGCCCGCGGUCAGGCCAGGCCGGGUCCAAUUAGGGGACUCACAGCCUGCCCCGCUGUGCACCCCGAGGAGGCCCGGCCCCUGUGUCCAAUCCGGAAGUCGCAGGGAAGUGGGGAGGUCAGGAUGGUGGCGCCCGCGGCUCGGGUCUUCCUCCGGGCAGUGCGCGCGGCUCUCACUUCCACGGUCCCGGACCUGCUCUGCCUCCUGGCCCGAGGCUCCCCGCGUGGCCUCGCGUCUGGUCGCCUACCCCUCGCGGUCCACUCCGCCCAGCAUGGACCUGGAUCCGGGGCGCCUUGGUUGCGAAUUGCCAGGAGGGCCCUGAGGACCUGAAGCCUCCCAGUCACGUCGAGAACGGGCAGGAGCUCAGGUUGGCGCCGCCGGUGCAGUGGGCAUUACAGGUGCAAGGGAACCAGUUGCAAACUGCAGUGCUGUGCUUGAGGAUGGCUCCUCCUGAGCCGGCAGGCUCCCGCCAAAGAAUUUAGAACGAGUCUACGUGGACACGCAAGUUUCAGCGAGCGGGGAUUUCCUGCGAGGCCGAGCGCGAGGAACAGCCGGCCCCGGAGGCUCGGGCUCGGGGUCUCCCCGGGGACGCGGCCGACUGAGAAGGCCGGGGCGCUCGCCGGGCGCGGCGCCGUCCUCCGUGUCGCGGGGACGGAAGGAGGCGACGCAGGCCAGGAGUCGUGCGCGCGGGCGGCGAGGGGGCGCUGUGGCCCGUGUCUGCCGGCCCGAGUCCCGGCAACGGUGGGCGCGACCCACCUCCUCCCCCGGCGGCUUAAUUCGGGGAAGAAGAAAAAACGGCAUCGAGGCAUUUCAAUAAAACCUAAGCGACUCCUGAUCCUUUCUCAUUGUGGUUCCUUAUGAGCUUUCGGUGUCUGGCGGGGAAACAGUUACCGUUCGGGGGUGUGGCAAACUUUUUUGGCAAUUAAGAUGAAACAGACGCUUUUAUGUGGGUUUCCUUUAAUGAAGUAACAUUGGAAAUGUAAGUAGUUUCAGUGCAUCAAAUCACAUCGCUACCGUAUUCGCGGUCACCGGCCCUCCCGUUCCAGGGCUCCCCGCGUUUGUCGAGGGAGAGAGCGAGGCAGGAACAGGGGGCCGGGGACAUGAGAAGUUUGGCUAAGAAAUUUUUCUUUUCUUUGAAAACAAAAGCGUUGUUAUAAAUGGAACAAAAUUUAAGUCAACAUGGAACCCACAUCUCUUUCAAACGUCGUUUCUAGGUCUAGUACUCUGUGAGUAGGUUGGACUGGAUUUCACGCUCAACCGGCAUUUCUAGGCUCUCAAAGACGCUUCCGAGGCCUAAAUGUUUUCCUGGAAAACACGUGCAGAGGAGCAUCCGUGGAAGACUGAAAGGUCCCCGCAGCUCCAGUCCUGGCAGGAUGUGCAAGGCCUCUCGAGGUUUUCAAAUGGGCCCCCGAGGCCUGGGAGAUCCCCGAGUAGCCACGCGGGCGCCACUUCAGGGACGCGGGGCGGCGGCUACUGUGGGCCGGGAGGGCCCCCGCACGGGCUGCUCUGAGCGCCUGGACCCGGGACCCUGCGCGCGCUCUUUUCUUUUUCUUUCGUUUCUUUCUUUCUUAUUUAUAAUUUACAUUCUAGGGACCUCGUAUUCAGCUAACCAGCUCUUGCUUACUUAACUGCCCUGUUUUCAGCUCCGGAUUUCUGGGAGGUCUCCCCAUGGCUAACUUGUCCCUCCCGGCAUCCUUUAGCGCUCUGCAAAAUUUGCCUUCCUCCCACAGAUGCCCCGCCUCCGACGUGCUUCCUGAAGUUUCUCUCCCGCUCAGGGUGCCCACAAUCCUGAAUUCUCCAGCAUCUCGCCGACUCCGUCUCUACCCUCCUCUCCUUCCUAAUCUCGCGCUGGCUUCGCCCUUUUCUCUCUCCUCCUCCUUCCUACGCGCCCCGCCCCCUCCCCCCAGGUCGCACCUCUCCCCGCCCGGGUCGGGAGCCCCUCGUGGCCAGGCGUCCGCGCGGCUCAAGACCGAGGUCCGCCACGCUGGGCCGCUCGUGGGCGGCUCUCACCCGGCAUACCGUGGAAACGGCGCGUCCCGCCAGCUGCGGCUCCAGCCUGGGAGGGAGCGCAGCGCGGGGAGCCUGCAGCGUCUGGAGAGUGAGGAAAAGGGACAUUCCUUGGAAAUGGACAGAGCCGAGUUCCUUAAAGGGAUCGCAGUUGAAAGAGACCCUCUUCAAAAUCAGCAACGACCUGGCAGCCUUAGUUCCUCAACAGGAGAUGGUUCGAAGAUGAAAUGUUUGAAACUCCGCCGCCGUUUCACCUUUGCACACACGCGCACGGCAGGCCCAGAUCCGCACAGAGACGCAGACACGCGCGCGCUCGCGCUUCCCGGAGAGGUCGGCGCGUCUCGCUGAAGCUGUUCUGGUCAAGUGGAGUUGUCAGGGCUUUGUUUUGUUUUUGUUUUGUCUUUUAAAUGUGUUUUACAAGACAGUCUUCAGCAGAACUUAGCUCCCUCAACCCUCCGUCCCUCCAGCAGCUCCUCCGUGGCUCUGCAAUCUUCUGUUUAAACACCAGAGCGCACCUCGGUGCUGGCCUCGGCGGGGGUGCGGGGUGCGGGUCGCGGGGUGUGCGGUCACCCAGGAGGCUGCGAAGAGUGCAGGGGUCAGCUCCAUCCCGACGAAAGCAGAUAGGACUCCUCGCUCGCAAGAAACACUGGAGAAAAGAAAAUAAUUCCUCGAGUGUUUUUACAAUUAUUUUAAUCCAACCAGCGAGGCUCUAAAGAGCGUUUGUCUUGAGGCCGUGUUGAAUACCCUUUGCCAACUGUAAAUUCGGCGUGUGUGCCCGAAACUGCUAGCCCUGACCAGGGGCUCGGCAGCACAUGGCCAGGCACACACCGAACUCCUCCUUCCCAAAUCCUUCUGCAGGAUCCUACACCCCUGGAGUAUAUAGGCAGCGGGAGGGGAGGGUUGGGUUUUGCUUUCUUUGCUUUUUAUUUUUAUUUUUUAAUAUGGCUGGGAAUGCAGAAAUUUUAAAAAUGGAUACAUUUGAGUGUGUUAAAAGUAAAAACUUCUCUUGGACAAAACAUAAACUGCUAACCGCAACGGGGGAGAAGAUAUUUGCCGCACAUGUAAAUAACAGAGACUGUUCUACAGCACCAGGAGGAAUUCUGACUGCCAAUGGGUGAAGACGAGGCACCCAGGGAAAUAAAGGGGCAGGGAUGGGGCAGCCCUCCACGCAGAGGAGACGCCUGAGAAUGCGCACAUUCACUGGUUGUCUAUCUCUAGACAACAGCAGAUGCCUCUUCACACCAAUCGAUGGCACCCAGAAAGGCCUAGGAUGUGCCCUGUUCAAACUCUCCCUGCGGUGCAGCUUAAAUUUCUAUAGAGAAAUUCGGGAGACAUUUGGCCGCAUCUGAAAGCGCAGAAGGUGCGUGCUCCCUGGCACCCAGCACACAGGUGUUGGGGAAGCGGGGACGAGGCAGCCCUGGAGCAUGGUUUGCAGGAGUGCAAGACUGCAAGCCUCCUCCACGGCCACCACUCCAGGCCUGGAUAAAGAAUUCGUGGCAUAUUUCAGGGAACAGAAUGUCCCCUGGGGCGAAAGGGGAUGAAGUCAUUCUACUUGUACCAACUUGAGUGCCUCCUAAAAGUGUAACCUUGGGGGCGGGGAUACAGAAGGAUGAUGCUGACAAUGGAAUUUAAAAACAAACAGCAACAUUUUGUGGUGUCUACAGGCGUGGGGGUGGAGGAGCUGCAGCGUCACCAUGGGAACAAAAGUCUCCCACGCAUCUCAGGCCCGAGGAAUCUUUAAAGAGGGAGAGUGGGCAUGGGAGGAGGACUUAAGCUAUUAGUCAUAUUUUAUUUCGAAAACUAGAUCUUAAGUAACUGUAGCAAAAUGUUAACAAUUCUUACCUUGGAAUACCGGUUACAUGGGAUUAUGUUACUCUAUUUUUUCAUCAUGUGAAAUAUUUUAUAUUUUGACAAUUAAAACUAAAUAGUAGCUUUUUAUAAAAGUGGCAUAUGCACUGAAGUAUAAUGUGCUAAUUUGGGAUUCGUUUAAAUAAAACAGCUUUCUUAGAAUA
rnacentral:lncRNA from 1 species